rnacentral:rRNA from 1 species
CCAAGGCCAUUCCACUCAGAAUGCACGUUAAUUCCCUAUGAUCUCAAAAGCUAGGCAGGGUCAGGCCCGCUUAGCACUCGGAUGGGAGAGCUGUAAAGGACCCAGAGCUGGAGGUUGAGGGGGUUUGUUGGA